AGCUCAGAAGUAGAGUGCUUGCCUAUCAAGCAUGAAGCCCUGGAUUCAAUCUCCAG
rnacentral:tRNA from 1 species